rnacentral:lncRNA from 1 species
AAAAUUCUUAAACUAAAAUAUAUUGUAAUCAUUUAUUUUCUGUUUUAAUUUCAUUGAAAUUGAGGAGAAAAUCAGAAAAAAAAACGUGUAAUAUCCUUGAGCAAUUAAAAGGGUGUGACAUUUUUAUUGCUUUAUAGAGCCACUCCUUUCCUGGUAAAUUGCAGCCAAGCCUAUUUUGCAUGCGAGUGACUUUGGGUCCGGAAUUAAAAUAUAUCAGUGGUGGUCCAGUUAGAGCAAGGAUACAAACUUAUGACCAAGGGCCGAAUAGAUUCAUUGUGACUUAUAGGAGGGCCAUCAAAAAAAGGAAAUUCAUGUUAUAUUACAAAAAACAUAAUCAAAAUUCAAGAAUUUUUAAUUGGAUAAGUGGCAUUGCAUUGAUUUAAGAU